CAAACAACCACUAGGCCCAUUUGAACUUUCAAGAAGAUUCUCCAACUCUUUUGUUCUCACAAUAUCCGACCACCUUCGAACUGCUGACAUUUCUCUUCUACUAAGGCGCAGGAUCAGUUUUUGGGACGAAAGAAUUUAAGAUUUUCUGGAUUUUGGUGAAAGGGUAAUAAAAAUUGAACCGAUGAUUCGAACGGAAACUUUAGUUCCUGCUCUAACCAAAUUCAAAACCAUAUUUCCAGCUGGAGGAAAAUUGGUUGGAACAAUGAUCCCUAAGAAGCAAGCAAAUGAUGAUGCCGGAGAAGCCCAAAUGAAGGCGGAGAACAUUGAACCCCUUGUUGCUUUUAGCAGGCCACCUCCAAUCCCUCCUUUCCUUGGACCUCUAGUUGCUCUUUCAUUGCUUGAAUCAUGGUCGAGACGAGAUAGCAAGGAUGAUUAACAGCUGACAUGGUUAAUGCCAUAUGCUUUCUUCUGCCUAUAGAAGUAAGAAACUUUUGAAGGUUUUAGAGUCUUGUUAAAUGUGAAGUCUAUCUUUGUCUACUAUCUUUAUGUAGGAAAAAUAAGUCGUUGAAAUGUUGUCCAGCUUCUUGAAUUGGCAAGCUGUGCAUAUCUUCUACUUGUGGAACAUCUCUAUAAUGUAAAGGAAUAACUUGUAGAUAAGUGUAAGAAUGGUGACUGUGAUACUC